CCAAGGAGUCUAACAUGUGCGCGAGUCAUUGGGCGGCAAACCUAAAGGCGGAAUGAAAGUGAAGGGAGCUUUUGCUUUCUGAGGGAGGAUGGGCGCGACGGCCGACAAAGCGGCGCCCCGCACUCCCGGGGCGUCUCCGUCUCAUUGCGAGUGGAGGCGCACCCAGAGCGUACACGUUAGGACCCGAAAGAUGGUGAACUAUGCCUGGUCAGGACGAAGCCAGGGGAAACCCUGGUGGAGGUCCGUAGCGAUUCUGACGUGCAAAUCGAUCGUCGGAGCUGGGUAUAGGGGCGAAAGACUAAUCGAACCAUCUAGUAGCUGGUUCCCUCCGAAGUUUCCCUCAGGAUAGCUGGUGCCCAGGUGAGACGAGUCUCAUCCGGUAAAGCGAAUGAUUAGAGGCCUUGGGGCCGAAACGACCUCAACCUAUUCUCAAACUUUAAAUAGAUGAGAACUCCGGCUUGCUUAAAAGUGAAGCCGGAGAUUCGGAUCAGGGUGCCCAGUGGGCCAAUUUU
rnacentral:rRNA from 1 species